rnacentral:tRNA from 1 species
UCCGAUAUGGUGUAGUGGCCAACAUGAUGCCCUCUCAUUCUCCGGAGAGGUUAGGCAUAGCCCCGAGUUCGAUUCUCGGUUUCGGAA